rnacentral:rRNA from 1 species
CCUACGGGAGGCAGCAGUGAGGAAUAUUGGUCAAUGGGCGAGAGCCUGAACCAGCCAAGUCGCGUGAAGGAUGACGGCCCUAUGGGUUGUAAACUUCUUUUGCAGGGGAAUAAAGAUAUUCACGUGUGGGUAGUUGUAUGUACCCUGCGAAUAAGCAUCGGCUAACUCCGUGCCAGCAGCCGCGGUAAUACGGAGGAUGCGAGCGUUAUCCGGAUUUAUUGGGUUUAAAGGGUGCGUAGGUGGACUAUUAAGUCAGUGGUGAAAGUUUGUCGCUCAACGAUAAAAUUGCCGUUGAAACUGGUGGUCUUGAGUAUGGAUGAAGUAGGCGGAAUGCGUGGUGUGGCGGUGAAAUGCAUAGAGAUCACGCAGAACUCCGAUUGCGAAGGCAGCUUACUAAGGCAUAACUGACACUGAAGCACGAAAGCGUGGGUAUCAAACAGGAUUAGAUACCCUGGUAGUCCACGCAGUAAACGAUGAUUACUAGGAGUUUGCGAUAUAUUGUAAGCUCUACAGCGAAAGCGUUAAGUAAUCCACCUGGGGAGUACGCCGGCAACGGUGAAACUCAAAGGAAUUGACGG